rnacentral:rRNA from 1 species
CGCUGGCGGCGUGCCUAAUACAUGCAAGUCGAACGGUCUUUCUAUGGAAGCUUGCUUCCACUGAGAAGAUAGUGGCGAACGGGUGAGUAACACGUGGGUAACCUGCCCAUAAGAGGGGGAUAACAUCCGGAAACGGGUGCUAAUACCGCAUAGUUUUCUUGAUUGCAUGAUUGAGAAAGGAAAGACGGCCUUUGUGCUGUCGCUUAUGGAUGGACCCGCGGCGUAUUAGUUAGUUGGUGAGGUAACGGCUCACCAAGACGAUGAUACGUAGCCGACCUGAGAGGGUGAUCGGCCACAUUGGGACUGAGACACGGCCCAAACUCCUACGGGAGGCAGCAGUAGGGAAUCUUCCGCAAUGGACGAAAGUCUGACGGAGCAACGCCGCGUGAGUGGAAAGAAGGUUUUCGGAUCGUAAAACUCUGUUGUCAGAGGAGAACAAGUUGGAGAGUAACUGCUCCAGCCUUGACGGUAUCUGACCAGAAAGCCACGGCUAACUACGUGCCAGCCGCCGC